rnacentral:ncRNA from 1 species
AAAUUGCUUGAAAAAUAGACUUUUCAAACAGUGAAAAAAUGCGUAUUAUACGCGCCCUUGAUUCAGAAUGCAGAAUAAUCAUUUUUGCGCUUUCUGAUGAAGCUGAAUAGUGAAGAAGUACGGUUUUUAGCCGUACUUUUUAUUUGGGACUUCGAUGAGUUAAAUUUGUAUUAAAAAUCGCCAAUGGAGCU